CUGCUCUGCCCCGCUACGGCGGCGCUGUGGGGCGAGGGGUGCAGCGAUCCCCCUGCGAGGGCUCUCGUUUUCGUGGGGCACCCUCACCACGGCGCCCGUACCUGUCCGCCAGAUGAGGAACAGGCCUCCCGUCUGGUACCUGGCAAUGGGGGAGGGGGCUCUGGGGACCUUCUGCGGGAUGCAGGCCUGCCCAGGGGGAACUCCGGCGCUCUCACAGCCUCUCGCAUGCACAGCGACGUCUCAUACAGUUGUGUUUGCAGCUCGCAGAAGAUGGUUUCUUCUCAGUCCUUGCAAGUGACUUGGCUAGAUGAGUUCAGUAGGUUUUGCGUCGUUUUCUUAGCACAACAGAGGAUUUUGGGCACUUGGUACAAAUAAUGAGUGGUGGGUCCGUGAGUCAGCUGUUCCCAAACAGCACACCUUAUCGUUAUAAAAAUGCAAGAAAACAUACUGAAGUUACAGCUGCGCAGUAGUGUACCAGUUAAUGUUUUCCAGCAUUCAUGUCUUGGCUAUUUACAGGUACCUCUUGCAAAGAUGAUUGCAAGUGAUGUACUUGGCAGAAAUGGAGAAAAACUGUCACUGUCACCGAUCCUUUUUGCCACACUGUGCAUUAGUUAACCUGAAAUAUGCAAAUAGCUAUAGCAUGAUUAAAAUCAUUCCUUACUAGAUUUUUCAUAGAAACACAGGACAGGCACAGUACUUAAACCAGGAGUGUGUCUCUCUGUUUCUUGUCUCCAAAGAUGGGGAGAUGAGAAGAGGCCAAACCACUGAAGUUUCCCGUGGGACUGUUUUGAAUUUCCAACAAUGUGCAUCUACUGACUCCAGAAAUCAGAGGUCAUGUCUUCUUCCGUAGCAGCUCUUGAUGUAUCUUCUCCUGAUGUUUGUCCAGUUGAUCCACUAGUGCUUAUAAACUUCUAGCAUCCAUAGCAUCCUGUGGCAGGGAAUUCUAUGGUAUAAUUGUAUGUAUGAACAACAUUUCAAAGGCAAGACUUCUCUUUGCAAAAACAAUGUUGACAGAACCCAGGCUGACCUGUCCCUAGUAAAGCCUCUCUGUCCGGGUACGCGCUGAUCUGUGCAGAGCAGUUUCAAUGGACAGUAGUUCUCCCACUUUCCCCUAGAAACAUUUUCUAAACAAAAUAAUGCAACAUUUGAUACAAUGCACUCCUUAGCUGCCAAGAAAGUUUUAAACAAGAAUUUACACCACAGUUAGAGUUUCAGUUAUUGCAUCCUCGAGUUUCUUGGAUGAACAGAGAGAAUCUGUUUAUUUUGUAUGCUAUUAAUUCAUGACCUUUUUUUCAAGUCAGCAUCUCAGUUUGAAACAUUGGAGAGAAGGCCAGUGAUUAAGUGUUCCAGCAGAGGAACACGGAUACAAGAAGUUCUCUUAGGUUUUCCACUAUGGCCUUAUCAUCUCCCAGUGCUGCUUUUAUGCCCAGUUCAGUUGGUGGGUUUCAGAACCUCAGAACCCUCUGAGGCUUUUUAAUUUAUACAAACAUAUCAUCUUGUGUCCAGUACAAGAGCACUUUGGGAGUGUGUUGAUACUCAGUAUUGGUAGGAAAGCGAUCUUUCCUUCCCCCAUCCAGGAAUUUGAGCCAUUUUAUUAAUGUGAUUAGAGCUUAAACAAUAUAAUAAAUACAUAGGAUUUGAUUAGAAAUUAAUAGGAAGCAGCAUGUUGUGUGCUUGGUGAGGAAUAGCACAAGUACAGCACAGUGAAUAAAACAAAAAGAAACAAAAUAAUUGAAUAUAUACAGCCAACAAAAUGUGUUUCCCUGUGGUGAUAAUAAAAGCCAGAGAAUUGCAGAGACAGCUAACUGGACAGCUAACCCUGGUCAGAAGAAGAGUUCCUUUAAGAGCAAGUAUUUGAUAAAAGAGGUUACCCCACUAACCGGAGUGAUUCCUAAAUUAUAGAGUAAUAAUUCGCUUAGAAAGGAAGGUAGGUUUCGUUGCAGGCCCCGGGGGAGGAUGGAGGAUUACCUUUGUGUUGUGAAUGUUUGAAUAGUAAAUGAUGCCCUGAGGAAAAAGGCCUGAUCUUGGUUAUGAGCUACAGAGAUAAGCAGAGCCCCACCCCACCUAUGUAGGCUGCAUAAAGCUGCGUAUUUUCCCAUGGGAAUUAUUGGAACCCCUAUUAUCUGUGGCUUUUGAACCUAAGUUGGGUGAAGUCCUGGGAAGUGCAGUGUCUUAUAAGGAGUGUUCUUCCUUUGGGAGGAGGAUUGAAUGAAUGAAUUCGUGUCUUCCCCUUUCAUGAUCAUCUGCAAAAAAUUUCCUUAAAAGCACUUUGGGAGUUUCUCAAAGUAAAAUAACCUCCAAAACAUGGGAAAACCCCCAACAGCAAACCAUCAUCCAUGUUUGUGUAACACAAGGAGUGCUUCGUGUUUGUUUAAUACCGUGGAACAUAGGACCUAAUAGCAAGAACAGAUCUGCAAGAGUUAGCAGACAAGAAGACCGGUAUACUUAGGUCUCCUCUGUUUAAGUCUUCUCCCUCUUGCUGAUUGAGACUGUACUGAUAAAUGAGAUCUGGCCUCCUAUGGCAUACCAGUUCUGUACUAUUCAAGGAAAAGCUGUAGAAGUUUCUAAAAUUCCUCUCUUCCUCACCAUUUUAAUUUUGUUUGCUCCUCUGUUCUCUUUCAUGGCUGUCUUUCACCAAGUCAUCUGACUUAAUCUCCUCUCUUUUAUCUCCAGAGAUGUUUUCUUUCCCAUACAGCUUUUCAUUACUCGGAAGGCCUCACCCUUAUUAGUACUGUUUGUCACUUUCUAGAUAUGUACAAUAGCAUUCCACAUUAAUGAUCCAGCUGGUUACAGUAGGAAUAGUCUGUUCCCGCUAUUUCGCUUACCUACUCAGCAAGACAGAAACUUGGCUACAACUCCUGAAAUCUACAUACUCCAUUCUUUUCUGAGUACAGGAACUUCUGUGGUCUUCUGUGGUCUUCCAGAAUGACACUAAUACACUGCAAAUGGACUGACUUACCUGCCGAGCUGGUUUUGAAACCUGCUGUUACUACAAUAUAAAGGAAAUCAGAGAGGCCAACACAAGAAAGUUUUUCAAGGGAGAAGCAGCCUGAAUUUGUUCUUUGUGAUUGAUCUCAAAUAAAGAGCAAUUCAUGGAAUACAUAGAACGUAGCAUUAGACUGCUUGGUAUUUCUCAUUAGAGCUGUAGUAGACCUCACUUGUGAAUGUGGCAUCACUGAGAAUUGCUUCAAAAGAGACAAAUGCCUCAGCCAAGCAAAUAAGCCCUUCCUUGGAUUCCAUGGUGAGAACAGGAGCCCGGAGCCUCUUGCAGAAUCAGGUAUUUCAGUUCCGUAUGCUGAAAAUGUGACUCAUACAGUUGCCAUUCCCCAGCCAUACCUGAUUACACUCCUCUGUGAUUUGCUCACUAGCUACAUCUGAUAAACGACACACAACAGGAAGACAAAGAGAGGCGUAUUUCCAAGGGACACUUCUCCCUCAGGAGAGUGCUGCUAGAAGACAUGUUCCCUUGCUACACCUGGGCAGGCUCUCAUCCUUCUCCUGGUCUACUUAGUUGGAAGUAUACUCUGUGUAGUGGUAAUAAAAAACCUCUGGGUCAGCAAAUAUGCUACUGAGCUAUCUUAGUCAUUGAGCUGCAACUUUGAUUGCACUGGUAACACAGCUGUGCCAUCAUAAGGCGCCUGAGAGCACUUUGGAGAUUCUGUAAUCACAAGAUGAGGUCAGUAGUCUCCAAACAGUUUGGACCACUGGAUUAUGGUCUACUCUAAAAACUUAUGGUAUCCUGUCAUUAAAAUUCUACUUGAAAAUCAUGUUUUCGUACGGUUCUGCAGAGCCCAUACCAGUGGCUCAUGGGGCACAGUAAGAAUCACUGGCCAAGAUACUUCAACUGUAAGUAACUCAGAUAUCUGCACAGAAGUGGGGAAGCCUUUGGCUAGGUCUCUUCACCUUUCUCUGUGUGAAUUAGUUUUCCAAUGGUGAACUGUGGAUAUUGAUACACAUUAAGUAUGCAAUGGAAGUGCUAAAUAUUCGUAGUAAUUACACACCUGCUGACCUAAAGCACCAAUUUAAAAGGUCUGGGAAAUAACCUGAAAAGAAGCACAGUGCUAGACCCAUCCUUAACUGGAUAUCUUAGAGACAAGAAAUGAUUUUCUUUAAAGUGAGCUUGAUACAGCUCCUGUUUCGCACGUGGCUGCAUACUGUUAAUGGUAAAAACCUGGUAGGCAGGAAGUUUCUAAGGUCCCUAAAGCAGAAAGCACAGGCACAGAGUUUACUGCAAAUCUAGGACAGAAACUCAUACUCAGUUAUCACUCUUUUGAUGGUUUUGAUCUCAAAAGAGUACUGCUUUAUGUUUAACCAGGGAUGCUGAUAUGGCUGUUUGUAAAUGAAAGUAUUUUUGUACUUGAGGGAAAAGAUAAUAAAGGGAGUGUUUGAGUGAAUGUCUGUUCUGAGCAAAUGCCUGUUGGUUAAGUUAGUAGGUAAACAGCAUUGUAAUCAAAGGACUCAAACUCUUUCGAAGUUGCUGAGGAAAUGUGUGACAAAUAUCAUCAAGAAUGCAGUUCAAAGGAUACAAGUUCCUAUCUCUAAGGCAUACACAGAAGGCCUGAUUCUCAUCUUAUGUUACUUGUAUACCUGGCUUCAACCAAACCAAAGGUACUCUGCUAUCAGAAACAAGCAGUGGGUAACUGUUCCUACUUUCUCUGGGAUGAUGAGAAAAGCUGACCCUGCGUGACCAGGGCAAAAAAGGACCCUGAAACAGGCCAGAAAGAGGCCGUGAAAGAUGAGGAGGUCAACAAGGUGACCAAGAAAACAUUUGAGAGAAGAAACAACACUCUGCAGUGCUAUUAGAGAUUUUGUUCUUGCACUUGUCCCCUUGAUACCUUCUUCUCCUUUACCUUUCCUUUUCCCUUUGAGAUUCACAAAAAACUGUUCCAGUUUGACCAGUUAAAUGGCGCUGAAUAUGGAUUGUCUUUGUAUGUAUUUGUAAUUAAACUGCACUAAACUUUCAGCUACA